UACAGAGGUCUCAAGCGUUGUUCGGAUUCAUUGGGCGUAAAGGGUGCGUAGGUGGCGCCGUAAGUCGGGUGUGAAAUUUCGGAGGCUUAACUCCGAAACUGCAUUCGAUACUGCGGUGCUUGAGGACUGGAGAGGAGACUGGAAUUCAUGGUGUAGCAGUGAAAUGCGUAGAGAUCAUGAGGAAGACCAGUGGCGAAGGCGGGUCUCUGGACAGUUCCUGACACUAAGGCACGAAGGCCAGGGGAGCAAACGGG
rnacentral:rRNA from 1 species